GAUUGCGAUCAUACCAGCACUAAUGCACCGGAUCCCAUCAGAACUCCGCAGUUAAGCAUGCUUGGGCGAGUAGUACUAGGAUGGGUGACCCCCUGGGAAGUCCUCGUGUUGCAACCCC
rnacentral:rRNA from 1 species